rnacentral:rRNA from 1 species
GACGAACGCUGGCGGCGUGCCUAAUACAUGCAAGUUGAGCGCUGAAGGUUGGUACUUGUACCGACUGGAUGAGCAGCGAACGGGUGAGUAACGCGUGGGGAAUCUGCCUUUGAGCGGGGGACAACAUUUGGAAACGAAUGCUAAUACCGCAUAACAACUUUAAACACAAGUUUUAAGUUUGAAAGAUGCAAUUGCAUCACUCAAAGAUGAUCCCGCGUUGUAUUAGCUAGUUGGUGAGGUAAAGGCUCACCAAGGCGAUGAUACAUAGCCGACCUGAGAGGGUGAUCGGCCACAUUGGGACUGAGACACGGCCCAAACUCCUACGAGAGGCAGCAGUAGGGAAUCUUCGGCAAUGGACGAAAGUCUGACCGAGCAACGCCGCGUGAGUGAAGAAGGUUUUCGGAUCGUAAAACUCUGCUGGUAGAGAAGAACGUUGGUGAGAGUGGAAAGCUCAUCAAGUGACGGUAACUACCCAGAAAGGGACGGCUAACUACGUGCCAGCCGCCGCGGUAA